rnacentral:lncRNA from 1 species
AAAAAACUGAUUUCCCUGGCGUCUUCCAGCUCCACAGGUCUGUGUUUCUAUAAACUAACAUUGGAGAAUUUCCUUUAAGUAUGAAAGAUCAAAAAUAGCAAUGUCGAGAGAAUCAAAUGAGAUCAUGAUUUUAAAAUAUUUUGUUAGUUGUAAUGUGUUUUAGAAAAGAGAAGGGAAAUGAUUUUAUGCUGCCAUUUGUCAUUAUUAUCAGGUCCUCUUGCCUACCCACUUCCUAUGAUGGAGAAAGAGCAGUUCACUCUCUGGGACAGGGGUAAGGAAAGCUCAUGAGGGCAAUUUUUCUGUUACCCCAUGAAAUAAAUGGCAGAAAAUUUCACAAGUCCAAUUGCUACACUACAGUAUCAAAAAACAAAUUAGUUAACCUAAUACCUUAAGCACUUCGAAUUUCUACUUAUAAAUCCCCCAAAUUGCAAAAUCACACCUCACUUUCAGUAAGACCUCAUGGAAAGGAAAGGAUAAUUAAUUAUGCUAUCAUGGGGCUCACUAUAACUUACCCCAAGCAUUUAUACUGUUGCCCGUCACAUUAUGGGUGGUAUAGAGAUUACUUUAGCCAUUGAUAGUAUUAAUGCAUAAUCUCAUCGAUUGCCUUGUAAACUAUCUCAAGACAAAGCCUGGAAUAAGGAAGAUGACACUCAUGGCUUCUAGGAACAGGAGAGCCAAAGAGGGUUGUCUAGUCCUUAUGUACAGGAGCUGUGAGCCCUUGUGAGAAGGCAUGGUCACCGUGUUUUCCUCCUGGGUAAGCACCAGCUAAUCCACCUCACUCAGCCACCUGGUUGGUGCUGCUCCCACUCCCUUCUGCUUGUCUCCACCUGGGAGAGAUACUGGGCACAGGGGGAGCCAAGGGGUGGUCCUAUGGUGGAUGCAGCUGCUCCCAGGGGAGUGUCUGUGUUCAUCUAGCUCAGCAGGAACAUCAACUCAGAGGGCACUGGCAGUUUAGGAGUUUGGGCCACUUCCAUGUGUGUGGCCCUGCACUAGGUGGUCCCUAUACCAGGACGAUCCUGCCACUUCCAAUGGCAAGCAGGCAUCCCUCAAGACAGCCCUGCUCGGUUUCAUUCACAGGGCAGUCUGGGAAGCAGAACUAGAGAAAUGAAUAAGAGACCAGUGUGGCCAGAGGCUGGGGACAGGGAGGGGACUGACACUAAGGGGCACAAGGGAACUUCUGGUACUGAUUGAUGGGAACUGUUAUAGGCUCAAGUUUGUGUCCCCACAAGUUCAUAUGCGAAGCCCUAAUCUCUAGUACCUCUGAAUACGGCUGUAUUUGGAGAUAGGGCCUACAAAGACGCAAUCACGUUAAUCUGAGGCGUUUAGCUGGGGCCUAAUCCAAUAUGGCAGAUUCCAUAGAAUCUGAGAAAAUGAAAUUUGUUUCUCCAGGAAGAUACGAGCUGAUGUCCAUGCACAGAGGAAAAGUCAGAACAAACCCAAACCAAACCUGCUGACAUGUUGAUCCUAGACUUCUAGCCUCCAGAAUUAUGGUAAAGUAAAUUUUUGUUGUAUAAGCUGCACUGUCUGUGGUAUUUUUGUUAUGGCAGCCUUAGCAAACUAAUAUAGGAAAUUUUUAUAUUUGGUGAUUACAUAAUUGUUUAUGUUUGUCAAGAUUCAUAGAAUUAUACAUCUACAAGGUUGACUUUUUUGUUAUUGUUGUUACUGGGGUUAAACCCAGGGUCUUUUACCACUUAGCUACAUCCCCAAGCCCUUUUUAAACUUUUUUAUUUUGAGACAGAGUAUCACUAAGUUACUCAGGGACUCACUAAAUGCUGAGGCUGGUCGAAAACUUGUGAUCCUCCUGCCUCAGGCUCCCAAAUCGAUAGGAUUAUAGUCAUGCCCCACCAUGCCCAGCUCAAAGGUUGAAUUUUGC